GACGAACGCUGGCGGCGUGCCUAAUACAUGCAAGUCGAGCGCAGGAAACUGACGGAACUCUUCGGAGGGAAGGCAGCGGAAUGAGCGGCGGACGGGUGAGUAACACGUAAGGAACCUGCCUCAAGGAUUGGGAUAACUCCGAGAAAUCGGAGCUAAUACCGGAUAGUUCAUCGGACCGCAUGGUCCGUUGAUGAAAGGCGCUUCGGCGUCACCUUGAGAUGGCCUUGCGGUGCAUUAGCUAGUUGGUGGUGUAACGGCCCACCAAGGCGACGAGGCAUCGCCGACGUGAGAGGGUGAUCGGCCACACUUGGACUGAGGCACGGCCCAGACUCCGACGGGAGGCAGCAGUAGGGAAUCUUCCACAAUGGACGAAAGUCUGAUGGAGCAACGCCGCUUGAGUGAUGAAGGUUUUCGGAUCGUAAAACUCUGUUGUAAGGGAAGAACACGUAUGAGAGGAAAUGCUCGUACCUUGACGGUACCUUACGAGAAAGCCACGGCUAACUACGUGCCAGCCGCCGCCUAA
rnacentral:rRNA from 1 species